rnacentral:rRNA from 1 species
GAUGAACGCUGGCGGCGUGCCUAAUACAUGCAAGUCGAGCGAACGGACGAGAAGCUUGCUUCUCUGAUGUUAGCGGCGGACGGGUGAGUAACACGUGGAUAACCUACAUAUAAGACUGGGAUAACUUCGGGAAACCGGAGCUAAUACCGGAUAAUAUUUUGAACCGCAUGGUUCAAAAGUGAAAGACGGUCUUGCUGUCACUUAUAGAUGGAUCCGCGCUGCAUUAGCUAGUUGGUAAGGUAACGGCUUACCAAGGCAACGAUGCAUAGCCGACCUGAGAGGGUGGUCGGCCACACUGGAACUGAGACACGGUCCAGACUCCUACGGGAGGCAGCAGUAGGGAAUCUUACGCAAUGGGCGAAAGCAUGACGGAGCAACGCCGCGUGAGUGAUGAAGGUCUUCGGAUCGUAAAACUCUGUUAUUAGGGAAGAACAUAUGUGUAAGUAACUGUGCACAUCUUGACGGUACCUAAUCAGAAAGCCACGGCUAACUACGUG